AUGGUCCACGCGUACGCACCGGUUCCUCCGCGCCGUCCACACCCACCUGCCGAACUGUUUGCGACGUAGUGUUUGCC
rnacentral:sRNA from 1 species